UCCUGGUUAGCUCAGUUGGUGGAGCACUCCACUGGAAAUGAAGAGGUCUCCUGUUCGAUUCCAGGACCAGGCG
rnacentral:tRNA from 1 species